UUCAAGCGUUUACAUGGUAAUUUUUUGCUGUUGGAUCGGAUUAGAAAAGGAAUAGACCACCCCUUCCAAUCCGAUCGAAAUUUCAUUCGGAUCGAGCUCAAUCGGAUCGAUUAAGGUGUUUACAUGAAAGUUUUUCAAUCCGAUUGAGCCAUCAAUUACAAUUGUAUUAUUUGGGUGCAUGUAAACGUAGCCAGUUUGUGCAACAGCAACAAGGUGCGGGUCCAAACCCAUCUGUCAAGACGCUUGUCCACUUGCUGUCCGCCCCACCAGCCCAACGAUUGUGCUGGAGAGCCUCUGACCACAAGUCACAG